AGAUGACACAGGGCAGUACUACUGUGCCAUUAAGACCGGUGUAGAUAGUGCUGAAUAUUUUGGAGUGUAUCUCCAAGUCAAUCAAGGUAAACCCACGCAAGUAACGACCACAAACAACACAGUGACCAGUACGGCUUUGAAUGAACAAAAGCAAACUACAAGUACUUCUGAGAACUCUAUCACAAACAAUUUGGUGCUGCCAUUUUGUAUAUUUUUUGGAACAUUGGUUUUUCUGCUCCUACUGACUGUAAUUGUCAAAAUUAAAAUAAAUG